rnacentral:rRNA from 1 species
AGUGAACGCUGGCGGCAGGCCUAAUACAUGCAAGUCGAACGGCAGCACAGCAGAGCUUGCUCUGUGGGUGGCGAGUGGCGGACGGGUGAGGAAUACAUGGGAAUCUGCCCAGUCGUGGGGGAUAACGUAGGGAAACUUACGCUAAUACCGCAUGCGCCCUUCGGGGGAAAGCCGGGGACCUUCGGGCCUGGCGCGAUUGGAUGAGCCCAUGUCGGAUUAGCUAGUUGUCGGGGUAAAGGCCCACCAAGGCGACGAUCCGUAGCUGGUCUGAGAGGAUGAUCAGCCACACUGGAACUGAGACACGGUCCAGAAUCCUACGGGAGGCAGCAGUAGGGAAUAUUGGACAAUGGGCGCAAGCCUGAUCCAGCCAUGCCGCGUGAGUGAAGGAGGCCUUCGGGUUGUAAAGCUCUUUUGUCCGGAAAGAAAAGCAUCCAGUUAAUACCUGGGUGUCCUGACGGUACCGGAAGAAUAGGCACCGGCUAACUUCGUGCCAGCAGCCGCCGUAAAAC